CAGCAAGGAGGCGAGGAGCGGCGGCGGCGCUGAGCCGGGCCCGGGUGUGGGGGCGCCUAUAUCCCCAGCCCAAGCUGCAGGAAGCCGCGCCGCUUCCUCGGAGGGGCUGGGACGGCGGCGGCCACGUGGGGGGCGGGGGCGACGCUCGGGGCCCGCGGCUGGAGGGGGAGUCGCUGCCUCACCCGCGCCUGGCGCCCGCGGCUCCCUCCGCCUCGCCGGCGUUGGCCCACCCUCUCGUAGCUCACCCCGCGAGGCUGGACAGCUCCCGGAACCCCGGAACCGGGAUCUAUUUCGGGGGCUCGGCUGCGUGGCGCCCAGGACUCUCCAGGGUCUCCCAGGAUCGCUCCCCGAAUUCGAGUCGCCCCCUCUCUCUUUCGGGAAUACCAGCUGAUGUCAGUCCGCCAGCCAAAACCAGGGAGGAGAAGCGGGAGCCAGCCCUCUGGAGUCGGGAGAAGGAAGAAGGUGCCACAGCUCUUCAGGACCACGGUUGGGAGAAAGAAUGGAGGGGUUUUAGAACCUUCAGUGUGCGACUUCAUGUGCCAGUCUUCAUCUCAGGAUCUCAAGCUCUUGGAUCAUGGGCACGGAUAACCUGUUGUCCUCCUCUAUGGUCAAGAGGCUGCUUUUGCAAAGAAUCCAGUGGGAGAGAGUCAAUGGCCUGCUUGACGUGAACUCCAAAGUCCUCCUGAUCAGAAUACCAAUUUCUUACUGGGUCUGGAAAGGAGGAGAGAAGGAUAGAGAGUUUCUUCUAGGACCAAAUUGAUUCCUCCACAAAUAGGAAGAUCCCCAGACUGUGUGCACACACCCUCCUCCUCCUUCCUUCUCCAACCCUGGCUGGACCAUGACAUCACAUGGUGGAGGCUGUUUUUUAAAAAGAACUCAGGCCAGAUUUACAAGAAUGAUGCUCAGGCAGCGUGACUGUCAAGGACCGUGGCCAAGUGACCCAUAGCACACACCCAGCAGUGCUGAGAACAUAGCUAGUCCCUUAGCACCUGGGGCUGACUCAUGGUUGCUGUAGGACCCAAUGCCAGAUGCCAGGAUUGCUUUCUCCCUCCAUUCAUUAGGACUGUCCCAUGAAACCCUCCCCAGGAACCCUUCUACCCCAUCCCGGCAUGCCAGGAGCCUGGAUACUGCAUAACACAGGGUACUCAUAUUUGUUUACCAAGCCUUGAAGAUGACAGGCAAUAUGCUGAUAUGCUCAAUGCAUCAUACAAAUUGUUUUAUUUAAAACUGAACUAUUAAAUUAAGUAUCAUAGCAACUCACUUUACAGACAAGGAAACUGAAGCUCAAAGGUUAAGUAAGGGCCAGGCAUGGUGGCUCACUCCUGUAAUCCCAGCAGUUUGGGAGGCUGAGGUGGGAGGAGGAUUGCUUAAGCCCGCGAGUUUGAGACCAGCCUAGGCAAUAUAGGGAGACCCCAUCUCUACAAAAAAUUAUCUGGGCCUGGUGAUGUGUGCCUGUAGUCCCAGCUACUUGAGAGGCUGAGGUGGGAGGAUUGCUUGAGCCCAGAAGUUGAGGCUGCAGUGAGCCAUGAUCAUGCCAUUGUACUCCAGCCUGGGCAGCAAAGCAAAACCCUGUAUUGAAAACAAACAAACAGGCUGGGCACGGUGGCUCACACCUGUAAUCCCAACACUUUGGGAGGCCGAGGCAGGUGGAUCACCUGAGGUCAGGAGUUAGAGACCAGCCUGGCCAACAUGGUGAAACCCGCCUCUACUGAAAAUACAAAAAUUAGCAGGGCAUUGUGGCACAUGCCAAGGUGGGCAGAUCACCUGAGGUCAGGAGUUCGAGACCAGCCUGGCCAACAUGGUGAAACCCCAUCUCUACUAAAAAUACAAAAAUUAGCUGGGCGUGGUGGUGGGCGCCUGUAGUCCCAGCUACUCAGGAGGCUGAGGCAGGAGAAUCGCUUGAACCUGGGAGGUGGAGGUUGCAGUAAGCCAAGAUAGUGCCACUGCACUCCAGCCUGGGCGACAGACAAAAAAAAAAAAAAAAA
rnacentral:lncRNA from 10 species